rnacentral:rRNA from 1 species
UAGGGAAUCUUCCACAAUGGACGCAAGUCUGAUGGAGCAACGCCGCGUGAGUGAAGAAGGUUUUCGGAUCGUAAAGCUCUGUUGUUGGUGAAGAAGGAUAGAGGCAGUAACUGGCCUUUAUUUGACGGUAAUCAACCAGAAAGUCACGGCUAACUACGUGCCAGCAGCCGCGGUAAUACGUAGGUGGCAAGCGUUGUCCGGAUUUAUUGGGCGUAAAGCGAGCGCAGGCGGAAGAAUAAGUCUGAUGUGAAAGCCCUCGGCUUAACCGAGGAACUGCAUCGGAAACUGUUUUUCUUGAGUGCAGAAGAGGAGAGUGGAACUCCAUGUGUAGCGGUGGAAUGCGUAGAUAUAUGGAAGAACACCAGUGGCGAAGGCGACUCUCUGGUCUGCAACUGACGCUGAGGCUCGAAAGCAUGGGUAGCGAACAGGAUUAGAUACCCUGGUAGUCCAUGC